CAGCACCUCAAGUGGUCAGGAUGAUUAUUGGGCCUAAAGCAUCCGUAGCCGGCUCUGUAAGUUUUCGGUUAAAUCUGUAUGCUCAACAUACAGGCUGCCGGGAAUACUGCAGAGCUAGGGAGUGGGAGAGGUAGGCGGUACUCGGUAGGAAGGGGUAAAAUCCUUUGAUCUAUUGAUGACCACCUGUGGCGAAGGCGGUCUACCAGAACACGUCCGACGGUGAGGGAUGAAAGCUAGGGGAGCAAUCCGGAUUAGAUACCCGAGUAGUCC
rnacentral:rRNA from 1 species